rnacentral:tRNA from 1 species
GUUCCUUUAGAUUCAAUGGAAGAACGCCCAGCAGGGAGGUUUGGGUUCGAGUCCCAAAAGGAACA